CGGCUCAGUGAGGACCGCUGGCGGCAUGUGAAUCAUACAUGACGCAUACGUGUCUAGAACUCUGAGGUCCAA